rnacentral:rRNA from 1 species
UGAGUAACCUGCCCUUAACUCUGGGAUAAGCCUGGGAAACUGGGUCUAAUACCGGAUAUGACUCCUCAUCGCAUGGUGGGGGGUGGAAAGCUUUUUGUGGUUUUGGAUGGACUCGCGGCCUAUCAGCUUGUUGGUGAGGUAAUGGCUUACUAAGGCGACGACGGGUAGCCGGCCUGAGAGGGUGACCGGCCACACUGGGACUGAGACACGGCCCAGACUCCUACGUGAGGCAG